rnacentral:rRNA from 1 species
UACGUAGGGUGCAGGCGUUAAUCGGAAUUACUGGGCGUAAAGCGUGCGCAGGCGGUCUUUUAAGUCAGAUGUGAAAUCCCCGGGCUUAACCUGGGAACUGCGUUUGAAACUGGAAGGCUUGAGUGUGGCAGAGGGGGGUGGAAUUCCACGUGUAGCAGUGAAAUGCGUAGAGAUGUGGAGGAACACCGAUGGCGAAGGCAGCCCCCUGGGCUAACACUGACGCUCAUGCACGAAAGCGUGGGGAGCAAACCGG